rnacentral:rRNA from 1 species
GUGCCAGCAGCCGCGGUAAUACGUAGGUGGCAAGCGUUAUCCGGAAUUAUUGGGCGUAAAGCGCGCGUAGGCGGUUUUUUAAGUCUGAUGUGAAAGCCCACGGCUCAACCGUGGAGGGUCAUUGGAAACUGGAAAACUUGAGUGCAGAAGAGGAAAGUGGAAUUCCAUGUGUAGCGGUGAAAUGCGCAGAGAUAUGGAGGAACAACAGUGGCGAAGGCGACUUUCUGGUCUGUAACUGACGCUGAUGUGCGAAAGCGUGGGGCUCAAACAGGAUUAGAUAC